CCGAGUUUACAACUCCCAAACCCAAUGUGAACGUUACCAAACUGUUGCCUCGGCGGGAUUUCUGCCCCGGGCGCGUCGCAGCCCCGGACCAAGGCGCCCGCCGGAGGACCAAUUUACAAACUCUUUGUAUGCCCCUCUGCGGAUUUUUAUUAUACAUUCUGAGCUUUCUCGGCGCUCCUAGCGAGCGUUUCGAAAAUGAAUCA
rnacentral:misc_RNA from 1 species